AUGGAGACAGAGCCCUGCAAGAGUGAUGUGGCUAUGCCCCUGAAGCAGCUGUUGAUGGCAGCCUUCCUCACAAGUCCAGUGUCAGGCUUCCAAGCUCUGAGGGGAGCAGUUCCAUCACUGAGACCCCAGGGAUGUUGCAGGUGGAGGGGACAGAGUGCAGAGCACCAGUCUGAUGUACGAUGUACAUGCUCGUGUGCAGCCUCAAGAAGCCCAAGCUCAGCUGAGCAAAUGACUUCACAGCACAGCUGUCAGCCAGGAACUAAAGAUUCAUGUUUGGGCCAGAAAAAAAAAAAAAAAAGGUAAAAGAUAUGGAACUAUGGUUCCUGCAUGUAAUUCAGUACAUUUGGAUUAAGCCAAGAGCUUUAAACUCUCAAGUCCAGAUGGUGAGAACAUUAAUGUGUGAAUUGAUGUAGAAUUUUGAACAACAAACCCAACAACAAACAGCUCAGAAGAUGUGCUGGAAUCCCUCAAGUUUUCAUUUUUAUCUUCUUGCCUUGUCCUAGGAAGCACAGGACUUGAACUCAGAAGGCCAAGCUUAUUUUAUUUCCUUGGCAUGGAGUUUGCAUCUAUGCCCAAAUGAUAAUUUUUGUUUAUCAAAUCUGGAAAGAACAGAGAUACUCUAAAGCAGAAUAUAUAUGCCUGUGAAUUCUUCAGGGAUUACACAGGGGGUCUGCCAGAAGCCUUUAAACUCUGUUAUUAUUAGAAUAAUUUCAUAGGCCCAUGUAUCCAGCUGCCCACUCUCUUGAUUUUAUCAAGAAUCUCCUGGUAGCAGACACAACAUUCUCUUCUGGAAUCUGGAGAUUACAUGACAAUUUCCACUUUCAUUUAUAAUGAAAAAAAGCUCCCAAGUUUACAAAGAAGAUCUUGGAACUAGGAACAAAACAUAAGCAGCAAAUAAAAAGGCCACAUUUUUAAAAUUGAUUUUGAAG
rnacentral:lncRNA from 1 species